UACGGAGGGUGCAAGCGUUAAUCGGAAUUACUGGGCGUAAAGCGCGCGUAGGUGGCUGUCUAAGCCAGAUGUGAAAGCCCCGGGCUCAACCUGAGAAUUGCAUUUGGAACUGGGCGGCUAGAGUACAGGAGAGGAUAGUGGAAUUCCAGGUGUAGCGGUGAAAUGCGUAGAUAUCUGGAGGAACAUCAGUGGCGAAGGCGACUGUCUGGUCUGAUACUGACACUGAGGUGCGAAAGCGUGGGGAGCAAACAGG
rnacentral:rRNA from 1 species